rnacentral:rRNA from 1 species
UACGAAGGGGGCUAGCGUUGUUCGGAAUUACUGGGCGUAAAGCGCGUGUAGGCGGGUCUUUUUAAGUCAGGGGUGAAAUGCCAAGGCUCAACCUUGGAACUGCCUUUGAUACUGGAGAUCUUGAGUCCGGGAGAGGUGAGUGGAAUUGCGAGUGUAGAGGUGAAAUUCGUAGAUAUUCGCAAGAACACCAGUGGCGAAGGCGGCUCACUGGCCCGGAACUGACGCUGAGACGCGAAAGCGUGGGGAGCAAACAGG